rnacentral:rRNA from 1 species
GAUGAACGCUGGCGGCGUGCUUAACACAUGCAAGUCGAGCGAGAAAAGUUCUUCGGAGCUUUUCUAGCGGCGGACGGGUGAGCAACACGUGGGCAACCUGCCUCCUAGAUGGGAAUAGCCUUCCGAAAGGAAGAUUAAUACCGCAUAACAUUGUUGAAAGGCAUCUUUUAACAAUCAAAGGAAUAAUCCGCCAUGAGAUGGGCCCGCGGCGCAUUAGCAAGUUGGUGAGGUAACGGCUCAUCAAGGCGACGAUGCGUAGCCGACCUGAGAGGGUAAUCGGCCACAUUGGAACUGAGACACGGUCCAGACUCCUACGGGAGGCAGCAGUGGGGAAUAUUGCACAAUGGGGGAAACCCUGAUGCAGCAACGCCGCGUAAGUGAUGAAGGUCUUCGGAUUGUAAAGCUCUGUCUUUAGGGACGACAAUGACGGCACCUAAGGAGGAAGCCACGGCUAACUACGUGCCAGCCGCCGCAGUAAUAC